ACGUUGUCUAUAUAUACCCUGUAGAACCGAAUUUGUGUGGUAUUUACGUAGUCACAGAUUCGAUUCUAGGGGAAUAUAUGGUCGAUGC
rnacentral:pre_miRNA from 1 species